AGCUCAACCGGUAGAGCAAGGCAUUAACGUUGCCGAGGUUAGGGGGUCGAUUCCCAUUGGCACCA